GAUGAACGCUGGCGGCGUGCCUAAUACAUGCAAGUCGAGCGAACAGACGAGGAGCUUGCUCCUCUGACGUUAGCGGCGGACGGGUGAGUAACACGUGGAUAACCUACCUAUAAGACUGGGAUAACUUCGGGAAACCGGAGCUAAUACCGGAUAAUAUAUUGAACCGCAUGGUUCAAUAGUGAAAGACGGUUUUGCUGUCACUUAUAGAUGGAUCCGCGCCGCAUUAGCUAGUUGGUAAGGUAACGGCUUACCAAGGCAACGAUGCGUAGCCGACCUGAGAGGGUGAUCGGCCACACUGGAACUGAGACACGGUCCAGACUCCGACGGGAGGCAGCAGUAGGGAAUCUUCCGCAAUGGGCGAAAGCCUGACGGAGCAACGCCGCGUGAGUGAUGAAGGUCUUCGGAUCGUAAAACUCUGUUAUUAGGGAAGAACAAAUGUGUAAGUAACUAUGCACGUCUUGACGGUACCUAAGCAGAAAGCCACGGCUAACUACGU
rnacentral:rRNA from 1 species